rnacentral:rRNA from 1 species
CGCGUAGGUGGUUUGUUAAGUUGGAUGUGAAAGCCCCGGGCUCAACCUGGGAACUGCAUCCAAAACUGGCAAGCUAGAGUACGGUAGAGGGUGGUGGAAUUUCCUGUGUAGCGGUGAAAUGCGUAGAUAUAGGAAGGAACACCAGUGGCGAAGGCGACCACCUGGGCUAAUACUGACACUGAGGUGCGAAAGCGUGGGGAGCAAACA